UCCAGGGUAACCUAGUGGACAUGGCAUCUGCCCGGUAAGCGGAACACUGUGUGUUCGAUUCCCAUCCCUGGAC
rnacentral:tRNA from 1 species